rnacentral:rRNA from 1 species
UACGUAGGGGGCAAGCGUUGUCCGGAUUUAUUGGGCGUAAAGAGCGUGUAGGCGGCCAGGUAGGUCAGCUGUGAAAACUCGAGGCUCAACCUCGAGCUGUCGGCUGAAACCAUCUGGCUAGAGUCCGGAAGAGGAGAAUGGAAUUCCCGGUGUAGCGGUGAAAUGCGCAGAUAUCGGGAAGAACACCCGUGGCGAAGGCGGGUCUCUGGGCCGAUACUGACGCUGAGGAGCGAAAGCGUGGGGAGCGAACAGG